UACAGAGGUCUCAAGCGUUGUUCGGAUUCAUUGGGCGUAAAGCGCGCGCAGGCGGUCCUUUAAGUCUGAUGUGAAAGCCCACGGCUCAACCGUGGAAGGUCAUUGGAAACUGGAGGACUUGAGUACAGAAGAGGAAAGCGGAAUUCCACGUGUAGCGGUGAAAUGCGUAGAGAUGUGGAGGAACACCAGUGGCGAAGGCGGCUUUCUGGUCUGUAACUGACGCUGAGGCGCGAAAGCGUGGGGAGCAAACAGG
rnacentral:rRNA from 1 species